AGCAGUGGGAGGCGACGCCGAUUCCAGUGGAGCGGACAACAUCUACAGUGAUGCUGCAGAGAUACAGAACGAUCAAGCAAACCCGCGCGCCUCUACAGAGGAGACAGGAAGUGAAGAACUCCAGUACUCUGUGUUCUCCCAGACCGCUCUCAGUCUCGACCGUCACAGGCAAAGGAGCCAGUCAAACACCCAGUAUCGCUCUGAAGAAGAACCUGAUAAGGUGGUCUAUGCAAGCAUCUGCAGAAAGUAAUGUGCAGCAAUGGAUGAACGAAACAAAAAGUCCACAUAUAAAACAUGAAAUCUCAUGUUGUAGGGGAAAAUUCACAGAAGCAUGAUAAACAAUCACAAGUCAAGACUCAACCUUGAUGGGCAGACUGGUUCCUCCAAAACUCUUGAUGAUUUAUGCUAAAAGUGUAUCAAUAUAUCCAUAUUAAAGCGUGAUAUGUACCCUGUAUAGUUUCAAACUGAUAAACUGCUAAAUUGUGCUAGAAUUACACAGUGAACCCAUAUGUAACUGGAGUUGAAUAAAGCAG